UACGUAGGCAGCGAGCGUUGUUCGGAGUUACUGGGCGUAAAGCGUGCGUAGGCGGUUGUCUAAGUUUGGUGUGAAAUCUCCUGCUUAACUGGGAGGGUGCGCCGAAAACUGGGUGACUGGAGUGUCGGAGAGGUAAGCGGAAUUCCUGGUGUAGCGGUGAAAUGCGUAGAUAUCAGAAGGAACACCUGUGGUGUAGACGGCUUUCUGGACGAUUCCUGACGCUGAGACACGAAAGCGUGGGUAGCAAACAGG
rnacentral:rRNA from 1 species